CAACAAGGAAGGCCACCUGCCAAGGCCAAGCUGACCUCCCCCUCAGUUUCAUCCUGAGAGAGAGAGAGGGAAUGGAGCAAGAAGAGGCACAAAUGGAAGAGAAGAGGAUGAAAAGGUCAUCGUGAGAGAAGAAGGCUCUGGAGAAAGGAGGUACAAAGACACGCUCAGUCAGAGAGGCCAGGCUGCCCUGGAGUUCCUCAGUGGCCUCGGAUGGCCUUGCAUGAAGAUGCAGCCCACUGGGACUCAGUGAAAUAUGCCAUCAGUAACAGCAAUAUUGUCACCUUUAUUGUGUCUCACACAGACCACAGAUUGUAG